CCCUGAUGUGGGGGAUAACCAUUGGAAACGAUGGCUAAUACCGCAUGAUGCCUACGGGCCAAAGAGGGGGACCUUCGGGCCUCUCGCGUCAGGAUAUGCCUAGGUGGGAUUAGCUAGUUGGUGAGGUAAGGGCUCACCAAGGCGACGAUCCCUAGCUGGUCUGAGAGGAUGAUCAGCCACACUGGAACUGAGACACGGUCCAGACUCCUACGGGAGGCAGCAGUGGGGAAUAUUGCACAAUGGGCGCAAGCCUGAUGCAGCCAUGCCGCGUGUGUGAAGAAGGCCUUCGGGUUGUAAAGCACUUUCAGUCGUGAGGAAGGUGGUAGUGUUAAUAGCACUAUC
rnacentral:rRNA from 1 species